AUGGCUGAUUAUCUCGCAAACCCAAAAGUAUAUGGGGAUGUGGAACAUUAUGGCUGGACCACGGAGGAAGAAGAAGACUAUGAUCCAAAGGGCAAGGAGGAGACAAGCUCUGAUGAAGAGGACGAUCCACUACCCCAACCUAGUGAUAUGCAUGUGGAGUUCAAGAAGUCAAGCCUCCCUAAGGUCCAAUCUAUUCCACCUCGUUUUUUGCAGGACAGCAAGGCGGCACUAUGCAAAAAGAUAAUGAAACUUGAGCUCGAGAAUGAGGAUCUGAGGGAGGAAAAUUUUAGCCUCAGACGCAAGCUAGAGAAGAAAAAUGCAACAAUUCCACCUCCAUCACCUCCGAGGAAAUAA
rnacentral:rRNA from 1 species